UACGUAGGGACCAAGCGUUGUUCGGAUUUACUGGGCGUAAAGGGCGCGUAGGCGGCCUAGCAAGUCACUUGUGAAAUCUCCGGGCUUAACUCGGAACUGCCAAGUGAAACUGCUGGCUAGAGUGCAGAAGGGGCAAUCGGAAUUCUUGGUGUAGCGGUGAAAUGCGUAGAUAUCAAGAGGAACACCUGAGGUGAAGACGGGUUGCUGGGCUGACACUGACGCUGAGGCGCGAAAGCCAGGGAGCAAACGGG
rnacentral:rRNA from 1 species